ACAAUAUUGAGCACAUGGUGUGACUUGCUGUAUCUUACAAAGUUGUGAUAGGGAGGGGUGGUCAUCACGAGGUUUAACUGAGAUGGAAAAAUACUGAACAACACAAUAGCAGGAACUGAGCAACUGUUCUAACUAGGCUGCGAUAUCAGAACAGUAAGAAUCUAUACAUCGACGGAGGGAGGACUCCAAGAAGCGCCAAGAGGCGGGGACCCGCCUGAGUGCCUGCGAUAGGCUGAGCAAGUCUAAACCACGCCCAGCCUCUACUGUGAUAGACAUUGUCCCAACACGUCUGUUGGCCUAUCACAGUAUAAGAACACUGUUUACGUACAUCCUGUCAGUUCUCUGUUCUGCCCUGCGUGGUAUUACAGUGAGCCCGUAUAUACGAAAGUUGCAUUUGCCAUUUAUUACUUAGCUAAUAAAAAAUACAUAGUAUACAAUCGGUGACUCAUUGUUAUAUUUAUCCUGAUACCAGAUUCGAAUUUACGCAACUCUAACAAAAGGAACAUCUAAAAAGAGGAAACAUCAGAAGCAGCCAUUGUAGCUAAUCAUUUAGCAAUCUCGGAUAGACAGUGAACCUGUAAACAUGUACCGUCCCCGUUUUGAAAAGCCUGACUUCGAGGGUGGGAACAAGGAAGUAUGCCUCCCGUCAGGCUUUAUCUCUUUACAAAGCCAGGGAAAAUGUGUCAACCUAGAUAUCCUGCAAUGUCCCGGGUGAUAAGAACAUCAUUGAGACAAGUCCAAUGGUUCUAUUGAACAAGGACAACCAUAUCUACUCAUCGGCAAAACACAAAGGCCACAAUAAUUGCUACAAAACGUUCAUUUGUAGAUCAGACAACAGACUCAAUUAAUCAAUGACAUCAUUGGUUGAACUCUCCCAGCGCAAUUGUUUUUUAAAUACAGCUAUACUGCAUAAUUAUGUCUGAAACACCCUCUCAUUACUCAUAAUUAUGUAGGGAGACUGGAAAAGCAUCCAAAAUAGUGUCUAGUUUCCGUUUAACUUAGUUUCCGUAAGACAGGUUUUUAAAGUUUUUAUAAUUGAGGGAAUUUGUGCAUACUCUUGGAUUCAGUUUUCAGAAAAACUGAAGCUCCUCGACUGUACCCCUCUAAAGGCCUGAACACACAAAUAAUUUGAAAUGCACUUCUUAUAAGACUGUUAUUGAUGUCAUCAUUACAAGAUGUUAUUAUAAAUGUUCUGCAUAAUCUUGUAUCUACUUUGUAAUUGACUCGUAGACCGAAGACAUUGAACGUCUUAUCUUUGUUCCCGGUUCUUGUUAAAAGUGACGACUGCCUCUAAAACAAGUCAUUGUGGGUAGAGAGAGGAGGGGAGAACUGCCUCUUAAACAAUCUCACAGGGGAGAGAGGGGAAGGGACCACAGCGUCUAAAAUAUGUGUCCUGAAGCUCAGAGCAGAGACACCCACAUCCAGCCUGCUUUCAUCAAAGAGUGAGAAGUCAAUGCACAAUCCACCUAAUUUCAGCCAGGAACCACUGAGAGAUGAGCAAAGAGAGAUGGUUCAUAUCGUAGCCCAUGAGGAGGGACUGGAACACCAUCUCAGGUUCUAUGUGAA